rnacentral:rRNA from 1 species
ACCAGACUCCUACGGGAGGCAGCAGUGAGGAAUAUUGGUCAAUGGCCGGGAGGCUGAACCAGCCAAGUCGCGUGAGGGAAGACGGCCCUACGGGUUGUAAACCUCUUUUGUCAGGGAGCAAGGUGCAGGUCGGGACCUGCUGUGAGAGUACCUGAAGAAAAAGCAUCGGCUAACUCCGUGCCAGCAGCCGCGGUAAUACGGAGGAUGCGAGCGUUAUCCGGAUUUACUGGGUGUAAAGGGCGCGUAGGCGGGAUGGCAAGUCAGAUGUGAAAUCCAAGGGCUCAACCCUUGAACUGCAUUUGAAACUGUCGUUCUUGAGUACUGGAGAGAUUGACGGAAUUCCUAGUGUAGCGGUGAAAUGCGUAGAUAUUAGGAGGAACACCAGUGGCGAAGGCGGUCAACUGGACAGCAACUGACGCUGAGGCGCGAAAGCGUGGGGAGCAAACAGGAUUAGAUACCCCCGUAA